AAGAAAGAAAGAAAGAAAGAAAGAAAGAAAGGAAGAAAGAAAGAGGUUGCUGCCACCCCUCUGCUGGCUAUCCUGGAAUAGCAGAGUGAGCAGCGUCUGCAGCUGAGCCCGGGUGGAACCGAACCCUAGCCUGCCCUUGCAGUGUCUGGGUGGGGCAUGCCCCAGCCCUCCCUGCCUUGCACCCACUGGGGCUCCCAAGCACCCAAGCUGCCUUCUCCUUUUCAAUAGCCAAGUUCCCAGAGGGUCAGCUUGUAAAUUCUCCUCUUCACCCUUGAUGGCUCCGCUCUGAGUCUCGCUACACUGCGAUCAUGUUGAUCAUAUGAGGAUCAGCUAAGAUAAUCAUCUGGAGAAUUUGGGACACCUUUAACAUGUCAUAUCUGCCCCCAUUAGAUGCCAGCCUGUAUCUGGGGGCAGGUAAGCCAACUAGAGAAAACAACCGACAUAGAGAACUUUCUACAUCUCAAGAGUGUGUUAGCACAGCCCAGAGGCUACCAUGAAGCAGCGAAGGGCAAAGACCACCCGGUGAGGCUGAAGUGGGAAUCUGCAGCUAAGCCACUAUUGGCUUGGUGUGAUGGUUAAUGGCAUCACCUGGACAGGACCUAAAAUCACAUAGGAGAUUAUCAGCUUCUGGGGAUGUCUCUGAGGGAUCCUCAAGACUAGAUUGAGGUGGAAAGACCCAACCUAAAUAUGGGUGUCACCAAGCCAUUAGCUUGACGCCUGGACUGAAUAAAAAGGAGAAAGUGAGCUGAGCACCAGCGUUCCUCUCUCUCUGUUUCCUGGAUACAAACACAGUGUGACUGUUGGCCUCCUCCUCUCAGCACCAUUUCCUGCCUUAAUGGACUGUACCUUCAAACUGUGAGUAGAGCAAACCCUUUCCCAUUAAGGUGUUUCGUCAGAUGUUUUAUGGCAUCAAGGAGAAAAGUCAUUUAAGUAUUUGGUAAGGACUUGACAGGGACAACUGAACUGUUAACAGCGAGUGAUGCAGUGGAAGUCCAUCCACAUCUCCUGACCUGAGGGUCAGACUUCUUCUGCUUGAGGACACUGUCAUCCCACAUGAUCCACGGAGCUCCUUCAGAUCCCAAGACUGGUAAGAGCAGUAUCUGAGACCUCUUUCACCAGGUCUGACCAAGGACAUUGGUAUUCUCAUAUGAACAACUGACUCUGGAGAUUCCCUGAAGGAAACAUUGUCUUACUUACAAACAGAAGUCUAAAUAAAUAAUUCCUCAGUCAAA